rnacentral:rRNA from 1 species
UACGUAGGGCGCAAGCGUUGUCCGGAAUUAUUGGGCGUAAAGAGCUCGUAGGCGGUCUGUUACGUCCGCUGUGAAAACCCAGGGCUUAACCCUGGGCUUGCAGUGGAUACGGACAGACUAGAGGUAGGUAGGGGAGAAUGGAAUUCCCGGUGUAGCGGUGAAAUGCGCAGAUAUCGGGAGGAACACCGGUGGCGAAGGCGGUUCUCUGGGCCUUACCUGACGCUGAGGAGCGAAAGCGUGGGGAGCGAACAGG